AGAGGGGGCAAGCGUUGUUCGGGAUUACUGGGCGUAAAGGGCGCGUAGGCGGCCUGUUAAGUCGAACGUGAAAUCCCUGGGCUCAACCCAGGAACUGCGUCCGAUACUGGCAGGCUUGAAUCCGGGAGAGGGAUGCGGAAUUCCAGGUGUAGCGGUGAAAUGCGUAGAUAUCUGGAGGAACACCGGUGGCGAAGGCGGCAUCCUGGACCGGCAUUGACGCUGAGGCGCGAAAGCCAGGGGAGCAAACGGGAUUAGAUACCCCGGUGGUCCUGGCCUUAAACGAUGAAUGCUUGGUGUGGCGGGUAUCGAUCCCUGCCGUGCCGAAGCUAACGCAUUGAGCAUUCUGCCUGGGGAGUACGGUCGCAAGGCUG
rnacentral:rRNA from 1 species